CUUCAAAAAAUUAUUAGUCCCAUACCAGCCCACCAAAUAACACAUCAGCAUGCUUUCUUCCGUUGUGUCUUUUAAAGACACAUUGUGCCUUACAAAACUGCCAAGACUUAUAGAAAACCAAAGUGCAGUAGGAGGCAAUGUACCUGUUGUUUUGUACAUUUGGGAAUCUGCCUUAUUUUUGCCAAGGGAGAAAACCAGGACAUCUACUGCCUUUCAAAAGAAUGAAUUUUCUGAGGAAGUAACACAGCUCAUGGAGAAAAAUGUGUACAAGUUCUUGAUUUCUCUAGAUUUUCUACCAUAUAACAAGCACAUUUAAUGAUAAAAAUGAUAGUUUGACCAAUAUAUAAAAUGUAAGCUUAACAAGAGAGCUAGGGCAUAGGCUAUUCAAAAUACUGUUUAUAAAGAUUUUCAUGCUGUCAUGAAACCAUUCUUAUGACUGAUUUCAACAGUGGCAUGCUUAUAUGAGUUUUAAAGAUUCAUUAAAAGCCUGGUAAAUAUAAUAUGCAAGUUAUCUUAUGAGAUGAAAAGGUGAUAGGAUGAUGACAUAACAAUGUUCUAAAGCAGAAUGAAUUUUCUUCUGAAGGAGCUGUUAUAGUAUCUAGCAUGAUGUCUAGAACAUAAUCAAAAGGUCUUUGUUCAAUCAAUUUCAUUAAUGUUUAGGUAAACUCCUUUUGGGAGAAUGAGAACAAUUUCUCAGGGCAGGAAUUAGGUAUUAUAGCAGUAAGAUAUCUCUUUUCUCAUUGUGCUUCUUUGAGGGACCGAGAGAGCUGGCCUUUAUGAUCUACAAUGUGCACAUUCUAGAUCAAGGUUCACUUUUUGUGGCUCAAUGGGUGAGAGACAGCUCUAAAACCUGGAAGCAAUGUCACAGGGCAUCUUAAGGAUUUUUAAAAGUAGCAAAAGUUAUGAGCUGCCAUAAUGCAAUCAACCCAUGGGAAAGAGCAGGCAAUCACUCACUGAGAGAUGAUAGAUUACGUCUUAGUAAAGCACAAUUGAGUGAGAGACACUAUAUUUUCACGAGAGAAGAUUAUGAGAAGUUGAUUUUUUAGAAUUAUUUUUUAAAACACAGUGUAAUACAUGUCAAAACUUUGGUAAUACUUUAUACUUAUCAUAAAAAGCUAUCACAUUCAUUCAAUUUUGAAUUCAAUUUACAUUCAAUGUUUGUGAAUAUAAUGUAUAUACAUGCAUAAGUUUGUGUACAGACGUGUGUGUAUGCAUGUGUGUAUAUAUGUGACAUAUAUACACAUACAUGAUCUGUGUUUAUAUAUACACACAUAUACAAUAAAUGUAUAAAUGUAUAUAUGUGCCAAAUUGGCUAAUAUAUAUACACACAUGUAUAUAUAAUAAAUAUAUAAAUGUAUAUAUGUGUCAAAUUGGCUGAAGAUUAUAUGAAAAUUAGAUUAUAUUUUAUUAUAAUAAUUUUAUUGAAUUGCAGACUGAAUUGUACCCCUCACCUCCAAAUUUACAUAUUGAAGCCAUAACCUGCAAAAUGACUGUAUUUGGAGACAGAGGAAAUUAAAGUUAAAUAAGUAAAAAAAGAAAGGUGGGACCCUGAUCCAAUAGGGCAAGUGUCUUUAUAAGAAAAGAAAGAGACACAGAAGUGACACACACGGAGGAUGAACCAUAUGAGGACACAGUGGGAAGAAUCUGCAAGCCUUAGGGAGAGGCUUCAGGAGAAGCUAAAGCUGCUGACACAUUGAUCUUGUACUUCCAGCCUCCAGAACUAUAGAAAAGUAAAUUCUGUUGUUUAAGUUAUCCAGUACAUGGUAUUUUCUUAUGGGAACCCUAGUAGAUGAACACAGUUUCCAUUGCAAUAAAUGCCUUUUGCAAAUGCUUGAUAACUUUAUGAUAAUAGAGGGAAAUGAUAAAUGAGAUUAAUCUUUACAUUUCAGUGUGAGAGUUUGUACUAGAGUACAGAGGAGGACUCUGAAACCAAGUCUCAGUUCAGGAAAACUGUGCCGUAAAUGUUGAUUACAUAUCCACUGGCAUGAAAGUUGUGGAUGUCAGCACAGACGAGCAUAUUUGUUAUAUCUAACUUAUUUUAUAGUCAAUAUGUUUUAAGUAGUCUCAAAUCUAAAAUGCCAAGUAUCUGUUUGUCCUUAAGGAUGUCAAUGAAAUAUUGUAUGUUUAUCUACUGAAUUUUGUGUUCCACAAGGCUCUAAAAUAGAGCCC
rnacentral:lncRNA from 1 species